AACGAACGCUGGCGGCAUGCCUAACACAUGCAAGUCGAACGAAACCUUCGGGUCUUGUGGCGCACGUGUGCGUAAGGCGUGGGGAGCUGCACGUAGGUUCGGAAUAACUCCCCGAGAGGGGUGCUAUUACCAGAUAGUGUCUUCGGGCCAAAGAUUUAUUGCCGUUGGAUGGGGCCUGGUUGGAUUAGGUGGUUGGUAGGGUAAUAGCGUACCAAGGGGACGAUCCAUAGCUGGUCUGAUAGGAUGCUCAGCCACACUGGGACUGAGACCCGGACCAGACUCGGACGCGAGGGAGCAGAGGGGAAUAUUGUAGACUGGGCGCAAGCAUGAUCACGCAGUGUGGGGUAAGUGAUGAAGGGCUUAGGGUUGUAAUGUUCUUUUACCCGAGAUGAUAAUGACAGUAACGGGAGAAUAAGCUCCGGCUAACUACGUG
rnacentral:rRNA from 1 species